CUGUUCCUACGGGGGGCAGCAGUGAGGAAUAUUGGUCAAUGGACGAGAGUCUGAACCAGCCAAGUAGCGUGAAGGAUGACUGCCCUAUGGGUUGUAAACUUCUUUUAUAAAGGAAUAAAACGAGGCACGUGUGCCUUUUUGCAUGUACUUUAUGAAUAAGGAUCGGCUAACUCCGUGCCAGCAGCCGCGGUAAUACGGAGGAUCCGAGCGUUAUCCGGAUUUAUUGGGUUUAAAGGGAGCGUAGAUGGGUUGUUAAGUCAGUUGUGAAUGUUGGCGGCUCCGCCGUAAAAUUGCAAUUGAUACUG
rnacentral:rRNA from 1 species